GGGCACAGCUGGAGGGGCCUGGAGGCGGGGAGGCAGCGGCCACCCCCGAGCCCCGGGCCAGACCCCAGGUGCUCCCUGGCUGAGGCUCCGUGGUGUCCUCCACCCGCCUGGCCCGUCACGCUUGGCGGUAGUCAGCUGGCGCCGGGCUCGGGGCCACUCUCAGACCUUAGUCCUGAAAGACGGGCGCUUGUCAACUGUGCCCCUGCCAGGCAGGGCGGGGUGGGCGCUGGGUCUGGCUCACAAAAGGGGGGGCAGCAAGGGGGGUCUUUGUGGGGGCCUGAGGCUGCCUGUGCCGUGAGCGCAGGACACGGGGGGGCCGCGAGCCGAGGCCGGUCAGCUGGAGGAACAGAUGGGGCAGGACGCAGCUCCUUGGCGGCCGCACCUGUCCACCUGCCGGCCAGGCUUUGGGGGAAGGACUCAGGGGCCCCAACAGCUAGUGCUGGUCACACAGGGCAGCUGUGGCCCCGCGUGGGGCUGAAGGCUGCAGGGCAUGUCUGCGCUGGGGGGUCAGGGAGCUGGGCCGAUCCUGGGAGGCGGGGGCGGCUGCGCUGCGUGCCCACCUUCUGGGGCAGACGUGCCCCUCUCAGCUGGCGGGGGGGGCCCCCAGGGCCGGGAGGGGAGCUGGAGGGGGCCGUCGGCCGGUGGGGUCGGAGCACUCCAGGCUCAUGUCCCCAUGGCCUUGCCUCUCUUGGUCACUCUGUGAAGCCGACCGUCCAGGAGGACAACAGACUUGUCACGCGGGGGAAGGGAAGGUUGCCGGGUAAGGUCCCCAACUCAAGGUGGGGGUGGCGGCGGCCCCGGGGUACGCUUCCUGGGAUGGAAGGGCCCAGCCCCAAGGCGGCGCCCUGCGGCCUCCCGGAACGCGGCAGCCACUGCCCACCGAGACCCACGGAGGCCGCGGCCUCGCCAUCCGCCGGCACCACCCCAGCCAGUGGGCAUCAGGUGCCCGCAGGCCCGGGCCACCCGGCGUGUGCUCAGAACAGGCCAGGGGCGGGGGGCGGGGUGCGGGGGGCGCCCGGGCCCACCCAGGUUCCCUCCGCCUGCUGCCCCAGCUGCUGGGCUCACCGCCCCCCUCCCCGCGGUCGCACAUCCACCCUCCCGCACAGCCCAGAGCCCCCCAGACCGACACCCAGCCUGCGGCAGGCACUCUGGGGACACCUGCACACAGAGGGGAGCCAGGCUCCUCAGCGGCCACCCUCCUCCUGCGUGUAUCGCAGCCCCGGCCCCCGUGCCCGGGUGUCUGCCCUGAGCUGA
rnacentral:lncRNA from 1 species